rnacentral:rRNA from 1 species
AAUCAACGCUGGCGGCGUGCCUCAGACAUGCAAGUCGAACGCGAAAGUCCCCUUCGGGGGAUGAUUAGAGUGGCGCACGGGUGAGUAACACGUAGGUAAUCUACCUUCGAGUGGGGAAUAACUCAGGGAAACUUGAGCUAAUACCGCAUAAUGCAGCGGCACCACAUGGUGACAGUUGUUAAAGCAUUUAUGCGCUUGAAGAGGAGCCUGCGGCAGAUUAGCUAGUUGGUAAGGUAAUGGCUUACCAAGGCUACGAUCUGUAACCGGCCUGAGAGGGCGGACGGUCACACUGACACUGAAUAACGGGUCAGACUCCUACGGGAGGCAGCAGUCGGGAAUUUUGCGCAAUGGGCGAAAAGCCUGACGCAGCGACGCCGCGUGA